rnacentral:lncRNA from 1 species
CGAACUUAAGAAUUUACAAGACUUCAGACUUGAAAACACCUAGUUAUCAGAUACUAAGAAGAAAUGCAGCUUAUGAGGUUGAUAGUAUUUUCUUAUAGUGUUGUGCUUCAAACUAAGAACUGCUAAAUAAGACAUGUUUUGAACGGUUUGUAGUUUUUUGGUAUAUAUAUUGCACUAAUAAUCUGAAGGUUUUAAAGAAGCAGGUUGUUGUUUCUGGCAGAAUCUUACCCUACAAAAGGAAAUGUUAUUUAGUUCAAACGUGAUUGACAAGUCCCAACUAACUAAUGUACUAAACUUAUGGUGUGAAUGUCAUUUUUUUAUAUACAGGUUAGAAUUUAUGACUCCAUAGUUGUAGAAACAGAAGGUGGCAGUCCUGCAAGAUUAAGAGGGUAACAUGGCAAUCUUGCUGGAUCAGGAGGUGGUGUCACUAGGUGAAAUAAUCGAUAGAGUUCUAUAAGAUCUUAUUUUGUUGCGUUCUUCUUGAUAUCCACAAAAACAAUAAUUUCUUUCACGCACAGGGUACAAAUACAAUCGGCUAAUGUCUUUCAAUUCGCUAUCGGAACCUGGUAUUAGAAAAGCAUUGGAGCACUUAUGAGUUUUCAUUUCUCUUCACUGUCCGCUGAUGGUUGUCAUCCCUAACCAGACUCACAUUAGCUAGUUUUUUUAGAACUUUAUUAUUCGUGUUGUAAAAGAAUUAUGUAAUGUGGAUCUGUAUGAAAUUAUUCUUUUUCUUGUAAAAAAUAUCGUAUGUUUUGAGUAUAACAACAUUUUAGUAUUCUACUUUAUCUUGAAUGAUAUUGUUGAACCUUUA